rnacentral:tRNA from 1 species
AAGAAAGUGGCAGAACGGCUAUGUGGUUGGCUUGAAACUAAUUUAUGGGGGUUCAAUUCCUCCCUUUCUCG